GCAAGUUCUGUUUAAUUAAGAUUUUCUUAUCCCCUGCUAUGUUAAUAGCUUGCUAGACCCUGCAAGAGCCUCCUGUAUGUGAUUAAAGUUCAAUUUAGAGAUUGAGAUACAAUUAUUUAACCCCUUAAGGACCAAACUUCUGAAAUAAAAGGGAAUCAUGACAUGUCACACAUGUCAUAUGUCCUUAAGGGGUUAAGGUAAAUUACAUCUGUUUGAAAGUGAAACCAGUUUUUUUUUCAUGCAGGCUCUGUCAAUCAUAGCCAGGGGAGGUGUGGCUAGGGCUGCAUAAACAGAAACAAAGUGAUUUAACUCCUAAAUGACAGUGACUUGAGCAGUGGAAUUGCGGGGGAAUGAUCUAUACACUAAAACUGCUUUAUUUAGCUAAAGUAAUUUAGGUGACUAUAGUGUUCCUUUAA